GGCUGUUAUGCAGCAACCCAUUACUCAAACAUCUCCCCCACGACUGCACGUCUAAGAGUAUGUUCUCAGUCACAUGUGUGUGCAUGUAAGUGUAUAAUGGAGUAAAAGUAUCGAAUAUCCCUCAGAGGGGUUAAUAAGGUAAUUCUUCUUCUUCUUCUAUUGAGUCUGAUUGGACAGCAUGACAAAUGACUUUAAACAGAAAUGUCAGUCAACAGGAGGAGUCUUCUCCCAGUAAUCCACGGAGCACAAACUGGGAAUAUUAGAGCAAACCAUCAGCUGUAUGUAUGCAAAUGUGGAUAAAGCCUGCUCUAUUGUUCAGGCAAGCUUGAUGGUCAACGAGGGAUGACUCCACGGGUUGGAAAAUCAAUUAAAUGGUAUAGAAACAGAUGAGAAAACGACCCCAGUGCUCACCUGAUUUACCUCCGGAAAAAAUCUCCUCUGUUUGUUGAUUUUAAGUCUUCUUCAAUUCCAGACCCCAUCAGCUAUUGUUUGAUGAGAAUACAGGUACAAUAAAUAAUUUCCAGGCUGGAUCUCCUUUACUGUGAGCUUCAGUGUUUACAGUCCAGCUGUUCGAGGAGCGACCAUGUG